GACGAACGCUGGCGGCGUGCUUAACACAUGCAAGUCGAACGGAAAGGCCAGUGCUUGCACUGGUACUCGAGUGGCGAACGGGUGAGUAACACGUGGGUGAUCUGCCUUGCACUCUGGGAUAAGCUUGGGAAACUGGGUCUAAUACCGGAUAUGAACUGCCUUUAGUGUGGUGGUUGGAAAGUUUUUUCGGUGCAAGAUGAGCUCGCGGCCUAUCAGCUUGCUGGUGGGGCAAUGGCCUACCAAGGCGUCGACGGGUAGCCGGCCUGAGAGGGUGUACGGCCACAUUGGGACUGAGAUACGGCCCAGACUCCUACGGGAGGCAGCAGUGGGGAAUAUUGCACAAUGGGCGGAAGCCUGAUGCAGCGACGCCGCGUGGGGGAUGACGGCCUUCGGGUUGUAAACUCCUUUCGACAGGGACGAAGCGUAAGUGACGGUACCUGUAUAAGAAGCACCGGCUAACUACGUG
rnacentral:rRNA from 1 species